rnacentral:rRNA from 1 species
CCCUUAGAUGUCCUGGGCCGCACGCGCGCUACACUGAUGCAUGCAACGAGUUUAUAACCUUGGCCUGAAAGGUCUGGGUAAUCUUUUGAACGUGCAUCGUGAUAGGGAUAGAUUAUUGCAAUUGUUAAUCUUGAACGAGGAAUUCCUAGUAAACGCGAGUCAUCAGCUCGCAUUGAUUACGUCCCUGCCCUUUGUACACACCGCCCGUCGCACCCACCGAUUGAAUGGUUCGGUGAAGAUCUCGGACUUCGAUAUUUAUUCUUUAUUGAGUUUAUAUUGUGGGAAGUUAUCUAAACCUCAUCAUUUAGAGGAAGGUGAAGUCGUAACA